rnacentral:snRNA from 1 species
AUACUUGCUUGACAGGGGAGACACCAUGAUGUGAGAUUCUUCUCCUGCACUCCAGGUGUGUUUACUCCUGUGAUUUCCCCAAAUGCAGGAGAUUUGACUAAUCUGUGGUAGUGGGGAACUGUUUUAUACAUACUUUCACA